rnacentral:rRNA from 1 species
AUUGAACGCUGGCGGCAUGCUUUACACAUGCAAGUCGAACGGCAGCGCGGGCUUCGGCCUGGCGGCGAGUGGCGAACGGGUGAGUAAUGCAUCGGAACGUGCCCAGUAGUGGGGGAUAGCCCGGCGAAAGCCGGAUUAAUACCGCAUACGACCUGAGGGUGAAAGCGGGGGACCGAAAGGCCUCGCGCUAUUGGAGCGGCCGAUGUCGGAUUAGCUAGUUGGUGGGGUAAGGCUUACCAAGGCGACGAUCCGUAGCUGGUCUGAGAGGACGACCAGCCACACUGGGACUGAGACGCGGCCCAGACUCCUACGGGAGGCAGCAGUGGGGAAUUUUGGACAAAGGGGGCAACCCUGAUCCAGCCAUGCCGCGUGCGGGAAGAAGGCCUUCGGGUUGUAAACCGCUUUUGUUCGGGAAGAAAUCCUCUGGGCUAAUACCCCGGGGGGAUGACGGUACCGGAAGAAUAAGCACCGGCUAACUACGUG